CUCUCCUGCGUCCACGUCAGAUGGGGAGAUGGGGCAAACAACGACACGUGGCAUCAUUUAAUCUCUUCUGCGAAAUUCUUCCAACCAUUGUUCUUUCGGUCUGAUGUGGGCUUCCGUUCCGUAAAACCUUUGGGCCCGCAUUAUUAAGAUCUUUAGACGGAAUGAAACCCUUCAGAAAUAUUUGGGAAUUAAGGUUUGGGUACGUCUUCUUCAGCCCCUUCUCCGUCGUUAACUUUUUGGUUCUUCCCCGUCGAUUCGCUCUCUGUAACUUAACGCCUCAGCCUCCAUCUAUAAAUAGCGGUUCCUGUAUGCGAGGAUGAGCACAGCUCAAACGACUUCCAGAAUCUUUCAAUUUCCAAACUUUUUGUCAAUAGCAAACAGGUUGAAUGGCGCCUUCCUACAUGCUCCUUACCGAUCUCAGAGCCGAUGCUCCCACACUGCGGAGGUUUGGCUGUUGAGGUCUUGAGAGGCCAGAAAUAUCAACAAAAAAAAAUUGCUGCUGAGUGUUGACAUUCAUCGAUGAGAAUGUAAUCACUGUUGUUUUAAGUUUUUUUUUUUUCAUUUACGCAUCUCUGAACACAAGUUCAGGGAACAUCCCACCGAGGGAUCCGUCUACACUUCAAGCGGAUUCGAUGUGGUGUGAAGCAACCCCAAAUUCCGGUUAUCUGAUACGCCCUUCUCCGUACGUUUCAAUGAAGGGACCGAGCUGGAGAAGCUGACAGCAUAUGUUAAGAACAUACCAACUGAGUUUUUCCGUUUCGACCAUACAACCAAUUGCUUGAGCUAGCAAAUACUGUAAAGCAACUCCCAGGUAUUUGACUCCUUUUUGCUAUUAAAAUUGAGUUUCUGCAAAUUCUUCAUUCAACCUAAAGUUCCUGAGGAAGACAAUGAUCCUGACGAUAGAAGAUAACUGAAAGAUGGACAACACUGUGAGCAAUAAGCAAGAAGCACCACCGCCUCUUCCUCCAGGGAUCUAUGAGGUACCGGGAGAGCCUGCGGUUGUUAUCAACGGAGUCCCUGAUAAGCCUCAAAAAGAUUCCAUGAUUGCCAAAGACGAAUCAAAACCAUCGAGUGUCACCACUAUAGGAUCCUGCGAAUGGCUUGAAGGUAGAGAAGUUCGCAAGUUUUUCUUGGGUUAGUACUAUUCAGGUCCGGUGACGAAGUUCGACAAAAGUACUGGGUGGUACAUGCUCGAGUAUGAAGAUGGAGAAUCUGAAGAACUGGACUGGUCUGAGUUAGAAGAAGUGCUUCUACCUAUGGAUGUUACUGUACCACUGAGAUCAAUCUCCUUAUGGGUCAUCAAGAAUCGUCAGACGCAGGCUCAAGCUUAUGGAUGCAUGGUGAAGCGCUAGACCAAGAACUCCAACACUAAUGGGUCUUACUCCAACACUUUUAACAGUCUUUUGAACAUUUCCUCAGUUGAAUAUUUUUAUAUUCAAAACUGAAUAUAUUGGCAAUUAAAUAAUCAUUCCAAGAUGUUGAUCCACAUCAAUUGAGUUUUGUUUGUUGGCACGUCUCUUUAUUGGUUUCGCUGUAAUUAUCAGACAUCUGUUAUUUAUUUAGAUGUGAUACUUUCAGACCCUUAUGUUAUGUGUAUAAAUUAAGCAAAGCCACUACUUACAGAAACUGCCGAUUAUAAGAACCAUAUUGGCCAUGGCACGACUAUGACACAUGGUCGUCUGUACCUUCUUUUUCAUCUUCAGUUCUCUUUGCUUUUUUUUCUUUGUUUGAUCAACAGUUCUCUUUACUUUUUUGUUCAGGUCUAGGAUCUAAAUCUGUCGACUGUUUAUUCUGUUUAUUAUGUAGAUCAACCAGUAAAGAGAAAAUCAUCUAGAAUGUUGUCAUGGUUCACUGGUGAAGUUGUUGAUGCAGAUAACCUUGAGUUGGACGAUGAUGAUGAUGAAACAGGGAGGGGAGGAUGAUGAGGUGGAGGAAAAGGACAAUGACGAAGAGGAUUGGAAAGGAAAGAAGAGAAGAAAAAGUCAUCAGCUGGGCAGAAGGUUUUAACAAUCACUCAGUCUAGAACUUAUGUUCUAUUUCUUCAGUCUAGACCAAUAGUCUGGAAGUAGUCAACUUGCGGAAGGUCAACAAAGUAAGAGGCCACUGAACACUGAAGUGUAAGCAGCUGUGAGUAAACUUUUUCUGCGACAAAGAUCUUAUUUGUGAAGAAGAGUCAGGUCUUUGUGUUUCUUAAGUUGCGGAGUCAUGGUCUGGUUUAAUAUGAUGUAACAAGUUUUAAAUGGUGGUUUGCAGAAAAAUGGUUAUCUGGUUGGUUUGUGUCUGAUUUUUAAUUUGUAAUGUGUUUCUGAUCAUGAACUACUUUGAGCAAAUAGUAUUUGUCGUUUUGUUCACA